GGAACCUCCGUAGCCCUAAAAAGACAAAAAACCAAAGAAUUUCUGAGACCAUAAUUCUUGUGGCUACGUAAACCAAUUGUAACUUUCAAAAGUUAUUUGCACAGUUCUUUUUCUCAGGAAGUCUGUGUGGUUGGCAAUAGGAAAUCCGUUCAAUGGAAACCCAGCCUCCGCCUCCACGAUGUGGCUGCUCCAGAAGGCACCCCCCCCCCCUUACAAAGGCCCCCAGAGCCCUGGCCUGGGCCAAAGGGAAGACCAGGCCUGGGGGGCUUCCUCACAGACUCACAGCAGAGGCCUGCCACCUUCUCAGGCUAGUGGAGCAGACUCUGGAAUCCUGCCUGGGAGCCCUGGCUGGUCUGCCCAGUAGCUGCUCGGAGUCACCUCUGCAGGCAUCUUAGGGAGAUGGAGCAGGAAGCAGCUCUGGUCAGGCUGGCCUUGGGCAGCCGGGAGGGGGUGAGAUGUGGCCCCAGGGCCCCAGGCCCAGGAGGCAGCUGUCCCCGGCCUGGGAGGUCAUCUGGACUUUUCCACAGCCAGGAGGAAGGGGAGGGAGUGGCCGGCCUCCCAGAGCCCCAUCUGGCGGCCAGGCCUGGAAGCUCUGAGGUUGCCUUUGAAGGAGGCUGGGGGUGGGGGUGGAUCAACCAGUAGCCUCUGGACCCAGGGACAGUCCCCCACCCCGACCUUCCUUUUCUGUGCUUCUCCUCCGAGGCCUGCAGGCAACGAGCACUGCAUGCCGUGCUGGGAGCCAGUCUUCUUUCACAAAUGAAUGGGACUCACAAUAAUCCCUGGUGACCAGGAACCAAUAAGCCUGUGAAACGGGCUUAGAACGGGGCCGGCACCAGAUACAUGCUGAGUCAUCAGCCCCCGCUGGCAUCCCCCAAGACCCUCGAAGAUGUGAGACGGAAACUAUGUCGCAACAAGCCUCCGUGGCAGUUCAAGCGGAUGGAAACCACCAGAGGCUAGAAGUACAUUUCCCGCGACCCCAAGGUCAAGGGUCCACAACCGAGGUGUACGACGUGGAGAUUCGACAUUUGAACACACCACAAAAGACCAGUGCGCUGGACCUAGUUUCCACCUGUCCCCCGUACAAACUUCUUACUGUAUUAUUGACCCUAUUUGUGCUAUAUAUUAACCCCCCUUGGCUAAUUUAUUUCCUGACUAGAAGUGUGUCCCCUUUAGCCCCCUUCAGUCAUUUUGCCCAACCCUCGCCCCGCUGGCGACUGCCCACGUGUUCUCUGUAUCUGUGGGUCUGUUUCUCUUUUGCGAUG